rnacentral:rRNA from 1 species
CACGUAGGGCGCAAGCGUUGUCCGGAAUUAUUGGGCGUAAAGAGCUCGUAGGCGGUUUGUCGCGUCUGCUGUGAAAACGCGAGGCUCAACCUCGCGCCUGCAGUGGGUACGGGCAGACUAGAGUGCGGUAGGGGAGAUUGGAAUUCCUGGUGUAGCGGUGGAAUGCGCAGAUAUCAGGAGGAACACCGAUGGCGAAGGCAGAUCUCUGGGCCGUAACUGGACGCUGAGGAGCGAAAGCGUGGGGAGCGAACAGG